rnacentral:rRNA from 1 species
AUAUUGGUCAAUGGACGCAAGUCUGAACCAGCCAUGCCGCGUGCAGGAAGACGGCUCUAUGAGUUGUAAACUGCUUUUGUACGAGGGUAAAUGCAGGUACGUGUAUCUGUUUGAAAGUAUCGUACGAAUAAGGAUCGGCUAACUCCGUGCCAGCAGCCGCGGUAAUACGGAGGAUCCAAGCGUUAUCCGGAUUUAUUGGGUUUAAAGGGUGCGUAGGCGGUUUUAUAAGUUAGAGGUGAAAUCUCGGGGCUCAACUCCGAAAUUGCCUCUAAUACUGUAGGACUAGAGAGUAGUUGCGGUAGGCGGAAUGUAUGGUGUAGCGGUGAAAUGCUUAGAGAUCAUACAGAACACCGAUUGCGAAGGCAGCUUACCAAACUAUAUCUGACGUUGAGGCACGAAAGCGUGGGGAGCAAACAGG